UAUAAAUCCUUUGGAGAAUGCUGAUGAUAGUAUAAAUACCUUUAGAGAAUGUUGAUGAUAAUAUAGAAAAUCUUAAAGAUAAUGAUAUUGAAAUAGAACAAUUUGAAGCUACAAAUACUCAGUUAUAUGGAAAAAACUUCGAGGCUAAGAUGGUACACUUAAAGGAUAAUUUCUAUUGUAGAAAUAUAAUAUAUUAUGCAGCAAUAGGGAAUUCUCAUAGAUCAUCGCAGAUAGCUAGAAGACUUUUAACGGGAGUGUUUAAAAAGGAAACAUUAAUUAAUUGUACUCUGACUGGACAAACUCCUAGAUCACAAGGAAAAGACCGACAAAAUCUUAAAAUCUCAUAUUUACAUCCUUUUGCAAUUAAAGCAAUAGUUGAUUGUUCUAUUGAGUACGGGGCCAAACAUGGUUGGAUCAUACAAACAAAAAAAGAUUUACAUCGAGCUAUAAUACAAAGGAUUGGAGAAAUAAAAAGAGAAGCAAGAAAUAAUGAGUAAAGAGAGUAACCUCGUUUUUACACAAUUUUUUUAUCGUUUACGUAGAUAUUUCAGUUUUUUUUUUA